GAACGAACGCUGAGCGGCGUGCCUAAUACAUGCAAGUAGAACGCACGAAGUUGAAGAGCUUGCUCUUUAACCAAGUGAGUGGCGGACGGGUGAGUAACACGUGGGUAACCUGCCCAUUAGAGGGGGAUAACAUUCGGAAACGGAUGCUAAUACCGCAUAGUUUCAGGAAAUCGCAUGAUUCUUGAAGGAAAGGUGGCUUCGGCUACCACUAAUGGAUGGACCCGCGGCGUAUUAGCUAGUUGGUGAGGUAAUGGCUCACCAAGGCAAUGAUACGUAGUCGACCUGAGAGGGUGAUCGGCCACACUGGGACUGAGACACGGCCCAGACUCCUACGGGAGGCAGCAGUAGGGAAUCUUCCGCAAUGGACGAAAGUCUGACGGAGCAACGCCGCGUGAGUGAAGAAGGUUUUCGGAUCGUAAAACUCUGUUGUUAAAGAAGAACAAGGAUGAGAGUAACUGCUCAUCCCCUGACGGUAUUUAACCAGAAAGCCACGGCUAACUACGUGCCAGCAGCCGCGGUAAUACGUAGGUGGCAAGCGUUGUCCGGAUUUAUUGGGCGUAAAGCGAGCGCAGGCGGUUCUUUAAGUCUGAUGUGAAAGCCCCCGGCUCAACCGGGGAGGGUCAUUGGAAACUGGAGAACUUGAGUGCAGAAGAGGAGAGUGGAAUUCCACGUGUAGCGGUGAAAUGCGUAGAUAUGUGGAGGAACACCAGUGGCGAAGGCGACUCUCUGGUCUGUAACUGACGCUGAGGCUCGAAAGCGUGGGGAGCAAACAGG
rnacentral:rRNA from 1 species